UACGAAGGGGGCUAGCGUUGCUCGGAAUCACUGGGCGUAAAGCGCACGUAGGCGGAUUGUUAAGUCAGGGGUGAAACCCUGGAGCUCAACUCCAGAACUGCCUUUGAUACUGGCGAUCUCGAGUCCGGGAGAGGUGAGUGGAACUGCGAGUGUAGAGGUGAAAUUCGUAGAUAUUCGCAAGAACACCAGUGGCGAAGGCGGCUCACUGGCCCGGUACUGACGCUGAGGUGCGAAAGCGUGGGGAGCAAACAGG
rnacentral:rRNA from 1 species